rnacentral:rRNA from 1 species
CAGGCGCGAAAACUCUACAAUGCAGGCAACUGCGAUAGGGGAACAUCGAGUGAUCCUCAUAUUGGGGGUCUGUCCACCCGCCUAAAAAGCGGGUGUUAGCAAGGGCCGGGCAAGACCGGUGCCAGCCGCCGCGGUAAUACCGGCGGCUCGAGUGGUGGCCGAUAUUAUUGAGUCUAAAGGGUCCGUAGCCGGCUUUGCAAGUCUCUCGGGAAAUCCAGCGGCUUAACCGUUGGUCGUCCGGGGGGUACUACAUUGCUUGGGACUGGGAGAGGCGAGAGGUACUCAGGGGGUAGGAGUGAAAUCCUGUAAUCCUCUGGGGACCACCGGUGGCGAAGGCGUCUCGCCAGAACAGGUCCGACGGUGAGGGACGAAAGCUAGGGGCACGAACCGGAUUAGAUACCCGGGUAGUCCUAGCCGUAAACGAUGCUCGCUAGGUGUCACAACAGUCGUGAACUGUUGUGGUGCCGUAGGGAAGCCGUGAAGCGAGCCACUUGGGAAGUACGACCGCAAGGUUGAAACUUAAAGGAAUUGGCGGGGGAGCAC